GGGAAGGGGAGGGAAGGGAAGGGAAGGAAAGGAAAAGAAAAGAAAAAGAGAAAGAAAGAAGGAAAGAAAAGAAAACAAAAGAGCUGGAUGAGAAAGUUCUAAAGGUAGAGACUCGUGCCACAUGCAAAUGGCGACUUAACAUCGGGUCAAUUAGAGAAGGACUAGGCAAUGAUGAGUGUUCUGCUAGAGCGGCAAGAAAUGCCCGUGGCUCCCUGCUGCAAGCUUCCUCAUUUGAAUCAGGCCUUGGCAGCCACCACACCCACCAGGGCAAACUGGACUGGAGGAGUCUGAUUAGAAGAGAAAGAACCGGUUUAACAGAGCUAGGGUGAUGGGGGUUGCUUCCCGGAGCUGGCACCAUAGCACCAGGCAGAAGAGCGGGUGUCAAUGCUUCCGAGGCUCAAGACUGGUUUAAGAUUAUGGCAUUGGGUUUCAGAGCAACUUGUCAGAAUAAAGGAGGCAAAGAGGAGGACUUUGAGCUUCAGGAGCC
rnacentral:lncRNA from 10 species